ACGCUCGACACCUACGGGAGGCAGCAGUUGGGAAUAUUGGACAAUGGAGGAAACUCUGAUCCAGUGACGCCGCGUGAAGGAAGAAGGUCUUCGGAUUGUAAACUUAUUUUGUCAGGGAAGAAAAAAUAGACUGUACCUGAAGAAAAAGACACCGGCUAACUACGUGCCAGUAGCCGCGGUAAUCUGAGCGGGCGUGGCAAGGC
rnacentral:rRNA from 1 species